rfam:Desulfosporosinus youngiae DSM 17734 chromosome, whole genome shotgun sequence.
UAGGCAGACAGCAAACUUCCUGAUGGGCAGGCUGCUCAUGAAUCAACUCUGAGUGCUUUGCUUACCUCUUUAUCCGGAGCAAAUAUUAUCUAUGGGCUCG